rnacentral:rRNA from 1 species
UACGUAGGGUGCGAGCGUUGUCCGGAAUUAUUGGGCGUAAAGGGCUCGUAGGCGGUUUGUCGCGUCGGGAGUGAAAACCAGGUGCUUAACACCUGGCUUGCUUUCGAUACGGGCAGACUAGAGUCAGGUAGGGGAGAACGGAAUUCCUGGUGUAGCGGUGAAAUGCGCAGAUAUCAGGAGGAACACCGGUGGCGAAGGCGGUUCUCUGGGCCUGUACUGACGCUGAGGAACGAAAGCGUGGGGAGCGAACAGG